rnacentral:rRNA from 1 species
AGCGAACGCUGGCGGCAGGCCUAACACAUGCAAGUCGAACGAACCUUUCGGGGUUAGUGGCGGACGGGUGAGUAACACGUGGGAACGUGCCUUUAGGUUCGGAAUAGCUCAGGGAAACUUGUGCUAAUACCGAAUGUGCCCUUCGGGGGAAAGAUUAAUCGCCUUUAGAGCGGCCCGCGACUGAUUAGCUAGUUGGUUGAGGUAAUGGCUCACCAAGGCGACGCUCAGUAGCUGGUCAGAGAGGAGGAUCAGCCACAUUGGGACGGGGACACGGCCCAAAACCUUCGGGGAGGGGCGAGUGGGGAAUCUUGCAAAGGGGCGUAAAGCUUGAAGCCCCUGGGCCGGGUGAAUGAUGAGGUUCUGAGGGUAGAAAAUUUUUUUCACCGGGGAGGAUAAUGACGGUCCCGGAAGAAGAAGCCCCGGCUAACUUCGUG